UGCCACAAACAUUAGUUUCUUUACGUAGAAGAGUUAGGAAACCUGUUCCAAGUCUUUACUUCCAACGUAGGGAAUAGAUCACGGACCUUCAUGACUUGAUAUUUUUUGUGUAACUGGAUAUCUUAAGCAUGGUGUAGCUUGCCAGACUUGUAUUAUUCAGGGAUGUUAUAAUGAUAGGACAGGAGAAGAAGACGUCUUGGAAUAAUGGAGGUCCAGAUGGUAAAAGAUGGCUUCAACAGCGUAUUUUUUCCAUCAAGACCCUCAGCUUGGUUGUCCUGGCUGUCCAGACAUCAACAAUGGUUUUGCUUUUACGGUACAGUCGCACAUCAUCUGCUGAAAACCACCAACAGUAUAUUAUUACCACAGCUGUUUUGUUAUCCGAAAUUCUUAAACUUACUUUAUCCCUUGGAUUCCUACAUAUAGAAACGGGUAAAGUGGCAAAGGUGACCUUUGAUCGCCUUUAUCGAGAUGUUGUUCUGAAUUUUUGGGAGACGUUAAAGUUAGCCAUUCCAGCAUGUUUGUAUGUUGUUCAGAACAACUUGCUAUUUAUAGCUCUGUCCAACCUUGACGCUGCUACUUAUCAGGUGACGUAUCAGUUAAAAAUCUUGACAACAGCUAUCUUCUCUUGGGUUAUUCUUGGGAAGCGGCUAACUCCCUUGCACUGGCUUUCACUCUGCUUUCUCAUGCUGGGAGUAUCGUUGGUACAGGUUGAAAGUAGCACUUGGAAUGACAGCAAUAGCAGUAUUAAGGCAUCUGAAGUAAAAGGUCCACUGGGGGAUUCAGAGCCUCUUCCUGAUAAUGAAGAUGCCCUUCCGCCUGAUGUAAAUGAAGCACAUCCAAAUACAGAAGUAUCAUGGUUGCUGGGGAUUUUUGCUGUGUUUGUAUCGUGCAUUUCAAGCGGGUUCUCUGGUGUAUAUUUUGAAAGAUUAGUCAAGAAGGGAACUCAGCCAUCUCUGGUCAUUAGAAAUAUCCAGUUAGGAGUUUUUUCUAUUGUGUUUGCUGUGAUAGCUGUUAGCAGUGAUUGGAGCUCUAUUAAAGAAGGUGGAUUUUUCCAAGGUUACACGCUAACUACUUGGGGUGUAGUUUUAAUACAGGCAUUUGGUGGAUUGAUAGUUUCAGUAACUAUGAAAUAUGCUGACAACAUUCUUAAAGGCUUUGCAACAUCUUUAUCGAUAGUUAUGUGCACGUUAGUUUCAUGGUUGGUCUUUGGGGAUGCUGCCCCUUCUACACAGUUCAUCAUAGGAACAACAAUAGUUAUAUCAUCGACUGUGCUUUACGGCUUCGCUCCACAGGCAACAGCAGCUUCUCAGAUACGAGGGAGCCACAUCCCUUCAACUGAUAGUCCUCACAAGGUGCAGCUGAGGAAAAGAAGUAUGAGUGACAUUGUGUGAUAUAUUAUUUUUAUGAGAGAUGGAAGAUAGAAAAUUCAAAGAACAAAUUAGAAUGAAUAUCUAAGGUCACAGUCAGAUAGACGGUUGUUCGAGUGGUGGCCUCAUAUAUAGUAAGAAAAGUGUGUCUGUGAGCUGUACAGGUAACACUGCAUACAAGUGGUUCAUUAGUAAUUGUUCAUUACUUUAUUUCUUUUCUACUGUUGAUUAUAUUCAAGUGCAUAUUAACAUUCACCAAGUAGGGGAUUUUCAUAAUUAUCAGUUAAGCAAUUAGUAUCUUUAUCUUACACACACACACACACACACACACUCACAAGCAAGGAAAAAACUGGAAAUGGGAAAAUUCUAAAGUAAUUAAACUAGACCACUUUCAUAAACCCCUCCCCCCCCCCCACACAAAUGCUCUUCCAGUAGGAAAAAACUGAAAAGGGGAACAUUGAAAAUAGUAAUUAAACUAGACCACUUGUUCCAUAAACCUGACAAACAGUAAUGGAACAUUAUUAGGGCCUUUCCUCAAAGGGAAUGUUAUAGUACCAGCUUCUUGAAGGAGGCUUAUGUAGAAUAAGCAGUGAAAAGCAAUGGAAAGAGAAUUCUGAUAUUCAACCAAUUUGACCCCUUGCAAUAUAAACCCAAAUCCCCUAUACUAGUAGAAUAAUUUGAAUAGUUUACUUUGUUCAGGGCCUGGAAAGGAGUCGGUUAUGGAAGCCCAAAACUAGACAUUCUUCUCAGAUAACCUCUAAAUGCUAAAAUACUCACUGAACAAAGAAAAUCAACAAUCUCAGAUUUUGAUUAUGUGGUCUCAGACCCCAAACAAGGAAGUUGGUAUUAAUAUAUAUAAAAGUUUAAUAAAUGGGGAAUAAAUUGCUAUACAUUUGCAAAGACAAUACCGGUUUGUCAAUGAAGUUGUAAUUGAUAAGAAAAAACUAAAAAUAAAAGUGUAAGGCUUCUUUCAAAAUAACAAUGCAUUUUCUCCAUAGCUAUAAUAGUAUUUCAAAUUGCUUAUAGUAAUUUAUUUUCUCUCAGCUGCUGUCAUAUAACACAUUUUUUCUCAUUAGUUAUUCACAACAUAAGAAUAACCCAGAUUAAUAAUCUUAGCCUGUCUCAGAACACACUUCAUUGAGACGAAUGAAAUUAAUAUACAAAACAUAAACGUCAAAUUGUACCCUUCCCAAAAUGGUUGAAGCAAACAAGACAGGUACAACCUGACCAGAUGGGUGUAUUAGAUUUUAUCAGACCACCUAGUUGAAAUUCCUAACUUUCACAUACUUUUACCACAUAAGGAUUAAAAAAAAAAAGUACCAAAUGCCACAGAUGGAAUCACUUGUGUAUAUAAACUGUACUUUGUUAUGGGUUAAUAAGUUAAAUUUUUCUUUUAAUAUCAUUUGUUUUUGAUUGAUAACAGUAAUGAUCAUUUUUAUCAUAUUCCAUUUUAUGGUAAUAACUUUGCCACAAGUUUCUUGCUAGCACUAAUUGCUUAUAAUACGUACUUUGUUUGACACCAUAACUCUCUUUAACAGUUUAAAUUUUUGUUCUUGCAAUUUUUUUUUUCUAUGAAGGACAGAUUGAUGUAAUCUUUUCUGGUACAUGGACAGCUAAGGUCACUGAUGCUAUUUGUUGAGUAACAAAAUUUAUAUAAAACUUAGGAUAUGAUGACUAGAUUGUACUAUAUAUAGAAAUCAAAUCUGUAGCUUUUGCAGAACACCUUCUGUAAUAAAUCUAAAAAUGCCCCUGGCACCGUAAACUUCUCAAAGGACUUUGGCGAGAAUUUAUCCGCCAUUUCAUGAAGGAUUGAUUAAAAGCUAUUAUAAUUCUUAGUAAUGGUGAUUAUCGUCAUUUUGCCAACCUUAUUAGAUUUUAAAAUUUUGUUUGCCUUCAAAAAAAUUAAGAAUGUAUUCCUUGUCCAAGCUCUGAUUAUUAAUUGGGAAACUAUAAUAUUUUUUAUAAGAACACAGUAUAUAAUUAUUGACUGCUGAAUUACUCUGCUCUGUGCAUUAUGCAAUCAGGACUGUCUGUUAACUGCACCUUUCUGGUCUCUGUGGCUAGUGUAACUUUACCCCUAAAAAUUCUGCCCAGUAAGGUGUCUACCCAUCCAUAUGUGUGCCUUGAGUAAAGAGUAAACUUAAAUUUUAGUUGUAUAACAUAAGCAGUUUUUCUUUCAUAUGCAUAUGGUUGCCCCUUCGCAUUUUGAUCAUAGAAAUUGUUGUACCAUGGGACAGUCAGGAUUCUUUGGGUACUGACAAGUAGAAUUCGUCUUUGAGUACAUACACAAUGUAGCAUUGUGUUUCUAAUAUAAGAUGCGCUAAGUUCCUGUUGUUAAUUAUUCUACAAUUUUUUACAGUUGGAAUAAUUGUUGUAAAAAGGUACCAUAUAUAUACGUAUAUAUUUUUUUUAUUAUAAUUUUUAAUUAGAUGCUAAUGAUUUCUUCUUGGUUAUGAAAGAUGUUAAAAAUCAGCUUAUAUACGUACUGAUCAUACCAGUAUUGAAUCAAGUGUUUCAGAUUUCCUUGUGAUUUUUGGGUUACUCAUCUUUGCCACUAUUCAGAGCAUUUAAAUGCCACAAGUUUAUUUAAAAUGUUGGCAUUCAUGACAUCUUGUUUUUAUUGUCACCAUACUAAAGUCUGUGGUGUACAAUAUUUUCAGAGAUUUUAUUGUUGCUCCAAAUCUCCCCAUGUUCACCAGUUUGUCAGUUAAACAGAAACAAAGUAUGUAAUCUCACAAUAUAUGUGCCAUCUGAAACCUUGGGCUUGCUUCAAUCACCCACCUCACUUUUUUUAAAAUGCACUGCUGUUUACAGCUUUUACCAUUUGCUAUCCUUGUUCUUAGUUUCACUACCACUUAUCAUUUACUUUGACCUUUCAUCACUUUACUCCACUCACUAAGUGAUAAGUGAAUUCAUUUAGCAGGUACUGUGCAGUUGCCAGUAUCGUCUCUCGGAUUGCUGACUUCAUGAGAUGCUCCAAUCUGUAAGUCAUUUUUUAUCGCUUUGCCUGAAAAUCUAGCUUUUCCACAUUGUAAGCUUUAUUUCAGCAUUUUUUUACAAUUUCACUCAUUUUCAUAAUUUUUUUUACGGUUAAAAUGAAGUUAAGAGUUACUGCUAACUAGGUAAUGAGUUGUUAACUAGUUCAUGCUCAGAAAUGAGUUCUUGUUGCAGUGGCCACUUAUUCUCCACCGCAGUACAAUGUAUAUAGAGAAAAGAAAAUCAACAGAAUUUUGCACUUCGGUUGGGGAAGGUGGGGUUGGUAAUUUUUAUUUUAUUCUUUUAUCAUUAACCAUGCAUUUCUGGGAAUAACCUCCUGGUGUAAACAAUAAUUUCUUAAUCUUUUAGUAUGGUAUUAGUAUUUGUAUUUUUGCUUUACAGUAAUUAUCUUGUUUGCAUUUAGGUAAAGUACGAAUUUGUCCGACAUCACCCAUACUUGUCUCAUUUUAUUAUUUACUGUUUCCUCUCCUACUUUGCCAUUGUUUUGGUUUCUGUUUGGCUAACCUUGCUGUUUUCAUGGCUUUCUACCUAGCUUUAGAUGUAUAUGUAUGUAGCAAUUUCAUUUUCUUUGGGAUUGGCAAUACCCUAUGAUUGCAUUUUUUUUCUAUUCCAGUGUACCUACUAACUAUGCAAGUUUACGUUUUACGGUCAGGGUUCUGUUCCUGGUGGUAUGCCAUAACCCGAAAAACACUAUAAACUGGAACAUCUAAUAAUAAUAGGAAUAAAUGGCGCUUACGGCACUGUAAAACCCGGUGUGGUGCCGUAAAGUCGGAACACCAUAAAACAAGACUGCUGUAACCCAGGAACUGCCUGUAUUACAUUUUGGUGCACAAAAACAUCAUUAUAUAGUUUACCAGUCAUUCUACACAACUCACUUUGCAAAUAAUUACAUCAGUUUUUUGGCCUCAACUUAUAUUUUUCUUUUACUGAUUGUGAAAAAGUUAUUCAAUAUUAUCAUCAGCAGAUUGUAUUUUGCCACACCUAUUAAUGUGCUUUUCCUCUUUCCACCUUUAUUAUUUUCCACUUUCAGACUGGAGCAUGCAAUGGUUCAGUUAACCAUCUCACUACCAAACCACAUGCAAUUUUAUCUGACCUUUGGACACUACAGAAGUCCUAAAGGUCAAGAUGUUCAUUAAAAUCUUGCCCAUAGUGCCAAUACAUCUUUCACUUUAUGAAAGCACAUGUUAAAAAAUAAUUUUCAUAUUUUCAAAAAUAAUUUUCAUAUUUUCUCUAGGAACAUGUAAAGCUUUCUUUAUGCUCAUAUAAGAAUAAUAUUUGCUCAUGUUUAAACAUUAGUCGCAUUCAUCUUAGCCCCCAAUUUUGUGGUUACAACUCAUUUGUAAAGUAAGUUUAGCUAUGUUUACAAAUAUGUCUUACUUUGAUUGUACCUGUCUCUAUAAAGAAAGGAUAUUAAUUUCCAAAUUUACAAGUUUCUAUAAUUGUGUAACCAAUGUUGAAAAUGUGAAAAUUUUGUGGGUCAGUAUCAGUGCAAUUUGGGAAAAUUUUGAGAAAGUUAGGUAAUUGCCUAGCUGUUAAUUCUUGACCCCCUGCUCUUUUGGGUAUAUACAAGAAAACCAUACAUGAUCUGAGAAUCCCAGAAGCAUGUUUGAUAAGAUUUGCAGAAGGGAAAACUGUCAGUUAAGUGCUGAAAUUCCCAUUUAUUUUAAAGGCACAAUUGUUUUCCAGUAACCUCUGGAAUGGUAUUUUUGAAACUUCACGGGUCAUGCUGUGCAUUGGAUAUGCAGAGUAAAAAGGUAUUUAUUCCUUAAUGAAAUAACAACCACAAAAGCUUAUAUUUAAAACAUCACCAUGAAAUGUGGUGUAGCCACAAGUAUGAAUGUGUACCAUUUAGUUCAUUUAACAUUUAUGAAUCUCUUCAAUAUUUCAAUAUAAAUAUUUAUGAAUCUUUUUGACCACCAAUGGUUUCUUGUUUUAUAAUACAUUUAUGUGGCAAGUGUAAACAUUUGUGUAAUUAUUAAAAUCUCAUCUGUAAAGCAGAAUCUGCUUAGUCAAGUCUCUUUGAUCCCUCAUAGAUUUAAUAAUCUUAUAACUGUCCACUUUAUGAUCCAUACAGUAAUCAACUUAAAAUUUUAUUCCCUUCCAGUUACCUGUCAUUCAAAAUCAUGUGCCAUUUGUGAAAAACAAAGUCAGCAUUUAAAAUUAUUCUACUGAUAUACCAAAUAUCAAAACUAUAGCUCAACUGUUGUGACAUUGGAAGAAAUAAAUCAGUAGAGUUCAAUUUAUGCAGUAACUGUUAUGGCCAUUGUACGAAUCUGACUUUACAAUGUACAAUAUAUCGAAAACUCAUACUUCAUAGUGGGAAAUCAGAAACCCUCCCUCUCUCUCAUAUUUGUUAUCCUUCACAUGACAUUUGGUGUGAAACAGCCUACUUGGGUAGGGUAAUAAAGAACUCUUCCAAGAGCUUUUGGCAUGUGAAAAGUUGUCAUACUAUUGUUCCUCUAGAGUUCACAUUUAGUAAGAUUAAUGUACUAACUAGAAUCUUUUCUGUUUUUUUUUUUUUUUUUUUUUUUUUUUUUUUUUUUUUUUUUUUUUUUUUUACCAUUCAUUUGUGGUUCCCGUAGUAUGAUUUAUUUAUGAAAACCAUGUUCUUUCUUUCAUGACAGUACUGUUUAAUCACACAGUGCAGCAUAUGCCUAUAUUUGCUUUCAUGAAUGUUCCCAGAAUCACUGGUCUUUUUGGAUGGCAGACAGAAGAUGGUCUCACUACUUACCCACUCAUUCCUUGGACACUGAUACGUAUAUGGGUUAACCAAUAUCGUAACCUAUCUAUUGAUCCUGCAGUACUGUUAAGUUCUGCUAUUGCUCUCAAUUGUUAUCCAGAGAGCUUUUCUAGCCCUCAUUACUAACUUAUUUUCCAUUCAUCAUUUCUCAUUGUAAAUCAUUUAUUUCGGAUCAGGUUUGUGUUUUCUCUGUAGGUUGUCAUCUUGUUUCAAUAUAAUUUUCCUUGUUUUUGUCUUCUUAAUGUAUCAGUUAUGACUGUUAAAUAUACCUAAGGUUAAAAAUUUUUCCUUGAGUAAUUAGAUUUAUUCUUUUGAUAAAUAAUCACUACUCAGUGUAAAAGUGAUUUUUUCAGGAGUGUGUUUUGCUAGUGUUCUGAUAUUGUCACAUUCACUGUGCAGCAAGCAUCAAGGUUUUCAGGGAAAGUCCUUUUGUAUAUUCUUACAUCCUUCCUAGAUUGACAUUUCACCUCCUGGAGUUAUGGCUGUGGUCACGUGUUGAUCUGUUAUCAUUUCAGCUGAGCUGCCAGGGCUAAACCUGCUGCUCCAGCCCAUCAUCAUCUGCAGGUUUUUCACAGCUUGGCGAGAGGAUGUUCAAGGUGACUAUCAUAAUGGUCUGGUAUCCCUCUUUACAACUUAGGUUUCCAAUUUGACAAUGGUGUUAUUUUGUCAGGAGUCUUAGUAAAAAAUGCUAGUUCAUAGAUGAUGGCUUAGCAUAUUAUUUAUUUUCUUCCAAUCUUUCAUUGCUUUACCUGCAUAUUAGGUCACCAACAAGGUCAACAUUUGUUAGAAUGGCAACAAACAACCAACAGAAGAGACUGACACAGGUGUGGUCCUAGGCACACAACUUACCAAUGGUUGCAAUCAUGACUAGUUUGACCAAUAGAAGAGAUUGCUAUCUUCAUGGUCAGGACCAUGUAUUUACCUAAGGUGAUAUGUUUGACAAAGAAUCCACAAUCUUAACAGAUGGCUGCUACAUAUUCACUUUGCAUGAUGACUGCCACGCUGCUGGUCAUUCUCACUCCAUUCAAUUUUCUAUGAGGUAUAGUGUGAUUUCAGCCAAAGCUAGUUUACUACUAUAUACUCAUGCACCAGUCUGCUAGCCCAGCUCUGUCUAGUACUCUUAACUAAAGUAGCCACAACCAUGCCAGCUCUACUUUACUUGCUGGUCAGCCUAUCCCAUAAGCUUUGCCCACUGCUAUACCCAUGUGCUUGACUCCUUCAUUGGCCUACUCCCUAUUUUUCCUCGGCUGUGUCCUCCUGUAAUGGCUGUUCCCUUCCAGUAGUCACUACCACACUAUUGAUUGUUGCUGUACUACCAUUCAAGACCACUUCUCAGUCAAGGUGAACAUUACUGCUUACUGCUCUUGCAGUACAGUAAGGUCGGGGAUUAUGGAGAUUAAGACACACUAAAUACAUAUACUGACUGUGAACUUGUCCCUUUGGCAUUGAACUCAGCACUGUCUUGCACUGAAUAUGACUGAACUGUAACAAGAACAAGUGAUGGUUUCAGUCAUUAGGAUGUACCAAAGAAGCCUAGCAACAACAGUUGGCCUUGUGAGUCAGUUGCUAAAGCAGUUCUUCCAUUGGACUAUACUUGUACUGGAUAUGAGUUUGAAAAUGAAGCUUGUGAUCAGUCAAGAAAGAAGUCAUAGCCUUCUACCUGCUUCUGGGAUGGUCUUGCCUCAUAGUAAAUGAAAUGCUGACUUUGUCUUUUUCAGCAUACAAGUACGUAUAUUGAUAGUCACUCACUGACCCUCUUCAGGAGGGGUUGUAAGUUUGCACAAGUCAUACAGUAGUUGAGAUCAAAAUUAUACAUUACAUAUAAGGUGAGAAAAGUAUUCUUCAUAUAAGGAAGGAACCCCUCAGUACCCACUGGAAAGGGGUGUUGUAUCUUGGACAACCCUAAGCACCCUAAACUCAAUUAUUAAUGUAAACCUGAAUGAGUAAGAGGUACAAUUAGUUUAGAGUUACUAGUACUUCUUUGGCUACAGAACACCUGCCUAAUUGCCUUUAUGGACAGAAGGUUGUUCCCUAUAGUCUUGUCAUCCCUUCCACAACAGAAUCAACAGUUUAAUGCAUACCACCCACUUUCACUUCAUCCUUGGUUUUCUUUUGACUGUCAAGAACAAGUUCUGAAAAAAAUUACUUUGCUUUCAGUGAUCCUAUUAUGCUAGCUGGUGUCAAGGUAUUAAAAAAAAAGUGCUUCUGCUGGACAUGUUCUCAUUAUAAUGAUCAUCUGCCUAAAAGCAAGAAACCUUUGUUGGACACAAGAUGUUGUGACUGAGAACCAAAAACCUCACUGAUGCUUUGUGUAACAAUUUUUUCAUAAGGCAGCACACUGUCACACUGGGACCUAUAGUUGGUGAAUGGCAGAAAAUCCUAACAUAUACCUCAAAACCAAAAAAUUUUGGGGAGGGGAGAUUUCUUAUUUUUCUACAAAUAAGUAGGUUUCAGAUAUAUAUUCUAACCUAAUUAUAGUGAAACAAGCAACAGAGAAGCCUCUUGGUAAUAGACUAGGAAGUUUAAAAUUACUUAAUAUGUGAGAAAUAGAAUCUAAUAUUUGUGUUUAUCAACUGAAAUUAUUACAAUUUAUAUUAUAUUGUUUUAGUCAACUUUUUCUUUUUUAAAAAUUUCAGUACAAGAUUACAACUUGCUUGAAAUAACAUCAAAGUUAAUUCAUACAACCCCAUAAUCAUAAUAAGAAUUGUCUUUUCCACCAUUCGAAUCUCACAGCCUCUCUUACUUUUUAUACAAAAAGUGAGAUUAUUGGUUAUUACCUAAAUGAGUCCUGAGGGUGAGGGUGUAUGCACAGUGUUGACUACUUUAUUCUGACAACCAAAGGAUUGAUAAUCCAAGGAAUAUUUUUGGAUGUUAAUACAUAUAUGAAUGAUGACUUUUUCAUAAAAUCAGUAUGCCUUUGUUCUAACUAGUUUAAAGUUAUUUUUUUUUUUUUGUUAAGGAAGAUCAUAUUGAUUAUCUACCUACUGAAAAACACUGUUCAUGUCGUUUUUUUCAGAUUUCUGAUGUCAGAGUUAAAGGCUAACUAAAAACAAAAAAUAUAAACACCAAAUAUUUAUAAUUUAUAGACAUGCUUUUUCUCAAAUGAAGUAAAGCUUUUUAUAUACUUUACCAACAUGUAGGCUUUUCUCAAAUGAAGUAAAGCUUUUUAUAUACUUUACCAACAUGUAGGCUUAUAGGUAGAAAAAUUUUUCAUAUAAAGAUGCUGAACUCUGCAGUUAUUCAUUCAACAAUUAUUUAAGUACAGUACUUGCAUCUCUUCUCAGACACUUUAUAUGUAGGAUUUUGAAAACUGUGAGCUCUGGAAAUUUCAUAGUUUUUUUUAUUAUAUGCUGAAAUGUGAUUUGUGGGUUUUGAAAAAAAACAAAAACUUAACAGUACCGAUUUGUGGAAUUUGAAUCAUGCAUAGAAUGUGGGGCAGCCUUGUUUGGUUUUACGAGUUUUAGAAGUUUUAGAAACUUAUACAUUGCCUGUCUUGGCAUUUUGUGGUACCAUGAGUAUUGUGCAUGAACAAAUCUUGUAUAUACUAUAUACGUAUUACCACUAUCUGCAUUUAUGAAGAAUUUGCUUUUGUAUUCAUGAGCCACGAUCAGUUACUGAUUCAAUUAAAUAUCUUGUUGGAGUAUUAUGCCUAGUAGCUCAUAAAAGGGCAGUUAGUUUGCUGAAUGCCAAAUUAAAUUUAUUAAUGAAAAUUAUGCUUAUUUUAACAAAGAAUCUUUGUUGCAAUGAAUUAAAAAGAUAAGACAAUAUCCAGUAUUCAUAGUUACAACUAAUUUAUAUUAAUUUUUCUUAAUUUUGCUUUGUAAUUUUCUUUAAAGCAAAAAUUUAGCCAUUCAAAAAGUUUGUGUAAUACACCUCCAAAGAGUUAAAGUAAGUUGUUGUUGGAUGAAGCAUUUACACCCAUUUGUGUGUAGACCGUAUGUUUAUAGUGUGUGAUAAAUGCAUCUUUUGCUUAAAAAAAAAAAAUGUCUAAGCAUUGUAUUUCCUGCCUUGUUUUUGGCAAUCUAAGAUUAAAUACAGUACUACUCAUAUUAGGUUUGGUUACAUGUUCUCUCAAAAGGAAUAAACUUAUCUUUUUGAAGCUAACUUAAUGGCCGUGAAGUAAAUUUAGACACCCAAUAUUUGCCUCUUUAUGUAAUAAGUUGCUACAAUGUUUUCAAGUGAUACAAUAUAAUUACAUACCAGAAUUAGUAGUUAAAACUAAUUAAUAUUCAUUGUUAUAUCUUAUGUUUUUAUUCAAUUGUCUAAAAAAAUUUAGGUAUUCACAAAGGCUUUGUAAUGCCUCCAGUAGUAUUAAGUAAGAGCUUGAUGUUGGAUAAAGCAUUUACACCCUUACAUUAGGUUUGGUCACAUUUUCACGAGGAAUAAAACUCAGCUUUAAGUUCAUGGCUUUCAUGUUAAUUUAAUCUCAAACAUUUGCCUCUUCAUUUAUGUAAUUAAUAAGCUGAACAUUGAAUAUAAUAUUGUUUAAUAGCUUUUUUGAUAUAAAGGCAAAAUGGUAUCUAAAUUUUUUCCUAUACAUAAUCUGUAGCAAUAGUUCUUGUAUAAUCUGUUCAAAGUACAUUUGUAUUGCUAACAAUGGGGAUUGGAAAACUAAAUUUAUUUCUAGAUAAAAUAAAGAUUAAAUUUAUUUCCAGAUUAAGUAGAUUACAUUUAUCUCUAACAUAGGUCAACAAUUUCACUAAUUUUAAGAUUACAUGUACCUUUAACAAUCUCAACAAGUUUAAAUAUGAAUAACCAGGUUUUGGGAAGUGAAAUGUAAGCGAGGCAGUGGUAAUCAUAUGUAUGUCGGUGUCCUCUCUCAUUUCUUUGCAAGGCUUUGUAUAAUUAAUUUGGAAAGGCAGAUUCUGCCUCCUGCAACUAACCCACCGGGAAAUAGUCAUUUAAACUAGUCAAAGGGGUGGCUCAUAAACUAAUGUAAUACUAAAUAAAUUAUUAUUCCCAAGAUUAAUAGUACUUCAAUAUAUUGUUUGUUAUGGUAAUUAUCUAAAAUUCCUUCAAGUUAUGAGUUUUCUAGACUUUUUGGUAAAAAAGUCUGGACCUACCAGGAUGUAAUAGACAAUCCUAUGGUUAUAAUGAAACUUAUUUGAGGUCCAUUAAAAACAUGUAGUAAAUUAAAUAUAUCGAUACACUGACAACUCAUAGUGCAGAGAUAGCCAGUUUACUGCUAGCCACCUUAACCAUAGUGAGUUGUCUACUAGCUGUACCUCUUUAUGAAACUAUGCUGGCACCACAAAUUAUUCAUUAUGAACUCAAUCAUCUGCUGGUAUUGAAAAAUAUCAUGGAAAACAGUAGUAUUUUAUUGCAAAUUUUAAAUUAGAGAGAGGUAUUGGGGGAGAGAUGAGAAAAACAGCAAUAAAUAUAGUGAGAGGGAGUUACAAGGAAUUAAAAGGAUUAGGAUGCCUCAAAGGCUUGUUAGUCCAUCCGAGGAGACGUGUGCUCACAUUUCUCUAGGAGCGGGUUUUACUGUUCAUUCACAGUGUCAUAAUGAUUUUGUCUAGCUUUCUUUUAAACUCCUUCCUACCUUUAUUGCUGCUUUCAUGGCUUGGUUAUAUCUUACAACACUCCUCAAUUCUUACAAUGAAACAAUGCUACGUAAGAGAGGGAUGGAAGAAUGCUAGAGACUUUCAAACAAUUGCUACACCUUUACACCAGCUAUGAGGUAUAAAGUAGCCUAUUUUGCUGGGUCUUGAAUGAUCCGAUUUUGUUACUUACCAAGGGGUCAGACCCCCAGAAUGACUCAAUUUGAGGUGCCAGUGAGGUAAACUGUUAACAGUGUGUGAAAAAGUAUGCUACAGUGUGUGAAAAAGUAUGCUAAGUUUCAUAUUUCAUUCAUUAACAAUCGUCUUUAUAUUCAUCUUUUAAGGGAUCAGACGUGAAAUACAUCCACUAUUUUGCAUUUUAUCAUAUAUCCAUUUUUCUAAGCAUUAAAUAACUGACCACAAAACAUUGUCAAUAGUAGUAUAUACAAUACUUAAUUGUAACCUAAGUGAGUUUCAUUUUAACAGAAAUUAUUAUUAUUAGCUGCUGCAUCAGCAAUUCAUGAAGUAACUUUUUGAUGGUCUGUUGAAAUCAUUCAUCUCUAACUUUAUGAAGUUCUUUUAUAUAAUCAUCAAGACCUGAAGUACUAAUCUAUGGUUAACCUAAAUUUGUAUAAAAUUACAUAAGAUACUACAGUUUGUUUAUCUUAUUAUUGAUGUAUUAGUGUAUUAUAUAUAUUUUUGAAUGGAUUUUUAGUAACAGCAAUUUUGAUCUCAUUGUAUCGAGUUAUCCACAAUUGUAUCGAGUUUAUCCACAAUUGUAUCGAGUUAUCCACAAUCAUUACAUAAGUUGUUAAUAAUUGUAUGUCAUUUAGUACUUAAGUACAGUAUGUAACAUUUUAGGUUUUUAGCUUCCUUUAUUCAUUGUAUCAACUCCAUAUGAUACAGCAAGAAAUAUAUUUCUGAGGUACGUAUGUAUAAACCUUUGUAGAAAUGUUCUGUGUCAAAUCUUGGCAGGCUGAAGUAUGAUGUAAAUUUUUUUAAUGUUUAACUGUUUUUUCAGGGAUAUAUUCAUUUGUUGCCUAAUGUUUAGAACAUUUUGUAGAGAUUAAAACCUUAUGUAAUAUUGCAAA